AAUCCACUGGGAGGGUGCUGCUGCAGUCUGUGGACCACCCUCUAAAAGAAGCACUGGGGUCUUUAUUAGCUGUUGCUCGUGUUGUGGAUUAUGACUCCUACAGGGACAGCAUGCUGUUGUUUGAGAGAUUUUUUAAGCUGUGCAUGAGAUAUCGGUCCCGUACCCCCGGCCUCCUGCAUCUGCCUUCACUGUCCCAUCCUUCAGCCCCAGAGAUGAACAUCUUGAGCUGCAUAUGCAGAGCACUGUAGCUUUCUCAGUCUCAGCCCUGAGUCUAGACUAGAAACUCUACAGCUGCCUGAUAUCUGAGAGGAGUCAGGACGGCCUGAGGCUGCAGGGCCUACGGCUACAGGUGAACAGCGAUUAGUGCUUGACUAAUGCUCACAUCCUCUUCUUUUAAAAAAUGGUCUUUUUCCGAUUUUGCUCUGCUGUUGAUUCUGCAGUCUAGAGCAGUAGGUGACGAGUGUUGAUGGCAUAUUAACAUGUUGCUGGGGUGCUUACUGCUGCUCACAGUCAGACCACCUCACACACUGCAGACUCCGUCAGCCUGAUAAGUGCUGCGUCUUAUUGGCUCAGAGGUGAGUGACCAAGUGCAA
rnacentral:lncRNA from 1 species